GAUGAAUAAUGUUUGAGAGUAAUGAUGGCAAGAUUUCCCAAGCGUAUCCCAUUAUGGAGAAAAUUGUCCUCUACAGAAUUGAACAGCCGGACCCUUAGAGAGAAUUCCAUGUGACAGAUCUCAAAGAUACAAGAGGAGAGAACUAGGCCGAGCUUUCAUAUCUAAGGAUAAUGGCUACUUGAUAAUGAAGCUAUCGACAGGUCAUCGAGGAUACCCACCUAAGAGAUAGCCGUCCCCUGGCCACAGUAACCCCAGGAUUGAGUUGUGUUUUUUAGCCGAAUGAGCACCAUCGAUAUCAGAAUAAUGAUCAAGGUCCUGCGAGUCAGGGGGAGACUACCCAGCCAGGGUCAGGAGAGUUACCUGUACUGUAUGCCUGUCUGAUGAAUAGAGCUGGAAACUUAAGUCAUAACAAUAACAUGCCACCAUAGCCCGACUGAACUAUUCUGGUAUUUGAGCUGUGACAGUAAUACUGGCUGUGUUUGUACAGGAGGGGCCUGAAUCAUCUCUCUCUCUCUCUCUCUCUCUCUCUCUCUCUCUCAUGACUGUGUUUUUACCUUUGAUUAUA